rnacentral:lncRNA from 1 species
AACUAUUAAAAAAUUCAAUAUUUCCCACAUAACGUACUUAUUCUAAAAAUGGCUAAUUGCAUAUCUCUAUCUAAAAAGUACUAAAGUAUCAAAGUAUCAAAUUACACCUACAAUUUAUAUGGCUAAUUUAUAAGUAUUAAAAACACAUUUACUCUAAUUUUUCCCUAAUACAUAAAAUUGAAAUAAUCUCAAUUCUACCUCACAUUUACUGUCCAUUCUCCCUCACAUUCAAACUAUCCAUCACAUUGUAGCUCAAAAACAUGUAUAAAUACAAAUCCUCUACAUGCUUAACAAUAUACAAACUAAUUUUUCUCCCUCUAAAGUAUAAAACAAAGCUUAACAACAAUAAAUGAAUGGAGCAUGAAGUAGCUAACCUUCACAACACUUUGGAUGGGUGAAAUUC